rnacentral:rRNA from 2 species
CCUGAUGCAGCCAUGCCGCGUGUAUGAAGAAGGCCUUCGGGUUGUAAAGUACUUUCAGUUGUGAGGAAGGCAGUUAAGUUAAUAGCUUAGCUGUUUGACGUUAGCAACAGAAGAAGCACCGGCUAACUCCGUGCCAGCAGCCGCGGUAAUACGGAGGGUGCGAGCGUUAAUCGGAAUUACUGGGCGUAAAGCGCAUGCAGGCGGUCUGUUAAGCAAGAUGUGAAAGCCCGGGGCUCAACCUCGGAACAGCAUUUUGAACUGGCAGACUAGAGUCUUGUAGAGGGGGGUAGAAUUUCAGGUGUAGCGGUGAAAUGCGUAGAGAUCUGAAGGAAUACCGGUGGCGAAGGCGGCCCCCUGGACAAAGACUGACGCUCAGAUGCGAAAGCGUGGGGAGCAAACAGGAUUAGAUACCCUGGUAGUCCACGCCGUAAACGAUGUCUACUUGAAGGUUGUGGCCUUGAGCCGUGGCUUUCGGAGCUAACGCGUUAAGUAGACCGCCUGGGGA